CCUACGGGUUGCAGCAGUGGGGAAUAUUGCACAAUGGGCGCAAGCCUGAUGCAGCCAUGCCGCGUGUAUGAAGAAGGCCUUCGGGUUGUAAAGUACUUUCAGCGAGGAGGAAGGCGUUAAGGUUAAUAACCUUAGCGAUUGACGUUACUCGCAGAAGAAGCACCGGCUAACUCCGUGCCAGCAGCCGCGGUAGUACGGAGGGUGCAAGCGUUAAUCGGAAUUACUGGGCGUAAAGCGCACGCAGGCGGUCUGUCAAGUCGGAUGUGAAUCCCCGGGCUCAACCUGGGAACUGCAUUCGAAACUGGCAGGCUAGAGUCUUGUAGAGGGGGGUAGAAUUCCAGGUGUAGCGGUGAAAUGCGUAGAGAUCUGGAAGAAUAUCGGUGGCGAAGGCGGCCCCCUGGACAAAGACUGACGCUCAGGUGCGAAAGCGUGGGGAGCAAACAGGAUUAGAUACCCGUGUAGUC
rnacentral:rRNA from 1 species